rnacentral:pre_miRNA from 1 species
AGUGGGAUAGCUGGGUCAAUUAGUGGUUCCAUUCCAAGUUUUCUGAGGAAUCUUUACACUGCUUUCCAAAGUGGUUGCACCAAUUUGCAGUCCCACCAGCAAU